CCAGAGGGUCGGGCGACCGCGGCGCGCAAGCGGCGAGGAAAGUCCGGGCUCCACGGAAACGACGGUGCCGGGUAACGCCCGGCGGGGGUGACCCCAGGGAAAGUGCCACAGAGAGCAGACCGCCGACGCCCGUUCGCGGGCAGGCAAGGGUGAAAGGGUGCGGCAAGAGCGCACCGCGGGCCUGGUAACAGGACCGGCACGGCAAACCCCACCGGGAGCAAGACCGAAUAGGGGCGGCAUAGGGGCUUCGUUCCGGCCCGUCGCCCGGGUUGGUUGCUUGAGCCCGCAGGCGACUGCGGGCCUAGAGGAAUGGUCGCCCAUCGCCUUCGGGCGGGGACAGAACCCGGCUUACAGACCCUCUGGCGCU
rnacentral:RNase_P_RNA from 1 species